GAAUGUAAGAGCGAUCUGGCUGCAACAUCUGUCACCUCACUGAUCACUAGAGUUGAUUUGGCUGAUCUGGCAGGCUAGGUGGUGUCCCCCAUUCCUCACUGCUCCAUGUGCAUCCCUCCUAAAGCUUCUGGAUCAAUUGAAGAGGAUGACCUUCCCUGAUAGAUGACCUUUCUUUGGUCAAGGGUAUAUGAGUAUCUGUGCUCCCCUGCUAGAAAUUCAAAACAAGCCCAUAGUUGGGGCAUUUAACGUGCCAUUGGGGCUGCCCGGAUUUUUGCGUCCUCAGUACCACAUUUGGGAAAUAUCCUGG
rnacentral:sRNA from 1 species